rnacentral:rRNA from 1 species
AUUGAACGCUGGCGGCAUGCCUUACACAUGCAAGUCGAACGGUAACAGGUCUUCGGAUGCUGACGAGUGGCGAACGGGUGAGUAAUACAUCGGAACGUGCCCGACCGUGGGGGAUAACGAAGCGAAAGCUUUGCUAAUACCGCAUAAGAUCUAAGGAUGAAAGCAGGGGACCGCAAGGCCUUGCGCGAACGGAGCGGCCGAUGGCAGAUUAGGUAGUUGGUGGGAUAAAAGCUUACCAAGCCGACGAUCUGUAGCUGGUCUGAGAGGACGACCAGCCACACUGGGACGGAGACACGGCCCAGACUCCUACGGGAGGCAGCAGUGGGGAAUUUUGGACAAGGGGCGAAAGCCUGAUCCAGCCAUGCCGCGUGCAGGAUGAAGGCCUUCGGGUUGUAAACUGCUUUUGUACGGAACGAAAAGACUCUUUCUAAUAAAGAGGGUCCAUGACGGUACCGUAAGAAUAAGCACCGGCUAACUACGUGCCAGCCGCCGCCGUAA